AAUGAACGCUGGCGGCAGGCCUAACACAUGCAAGUCGAACGGAUCCUUCGGGAUUAGUGGCGGACGGGUGAGUAACGCGUGGGAACAUACCCAAAGGUGCGGAAUAGCCUCGGGAAACUGGGAGUAAUACCGUAUGUGCUCGAAAGAGGAAAGAUUUAUCGCCUUUGGAUUGGCCCGCGUUGGAUUAGGUAGUGAGUGGGGUAAUGGCCUACCAAGCCGACGAUCGAUAGCUGGUUUGAGAGGAUGAUCAGCCACACUGGGACUGAGACACGGCCCAGACUCCUCCGGGAGGCAGCAGUGGGGAAUCUUAGACAAUGGGGGAAACCCUGAUCUAGCCAUGCCGCGUGAUCGAUGAAGGCCUUAGGGUUGUAAAGAUCUUUCAGGUGGGAAGAUAAUGACUGUACCACCAGAAGAAGCCCCGGCUAACUCCGUGCCAGCCGCCGCCGUAA
rnacentral:rRNA from 1 species